GAUGAACGCUAGCUACAGGCUUAACACAUGCAAGUCGAGGGGAAACGACAUCGAAAGCUUGCUUUUGAUGGGCGUCGACCGGCGCACGGGUGAGUAACGCGUAUCCAACCUGCCCACCACUUGGGGAUAACCUUGCGAAAGUAAGACUAAUACCCAAUGACGUCUCUAGAAGACAUCUGAAAGGGAUUAAAGAUUUAUCGGUGAUGGAUGGGGAUGCGUCUGAUUAGCUUGUUGGCGGGGUAACGGCCCACCAAGGCUACGAUCAGUAGGGGUUCUGAGAGGAAGGUCCCCCCACAUUGGAACUGAGACACGGUCCAUACUCCUACGGGAGGCAGCAGUGAGGAAUAUUGGUCAAUGGGCGAAGCCUGAACCAGCCAUGCCGCGUGCGGGAAGGAGGCCCUAUGGGCUGUGAACCGCUUUUGCCUGGGGCAAUAAGGGCGUCGCGCACGUCCGAUGAGAGUACCAGGGGAAUAAGCAUCGGCUAACUCCGUGCCAGCAGCCG
rnacentral:rRNA from 1 species